CACGUAGGGGCCAAGCGUUGUCCGGAUUUAUUGGGCGUAAAGAGCUCGUAGGCGGUUCGACAAGUCGGGUGUGAAAACUCCGGGCUCAACCCGGAGACGCCACCCGAUACUGUCGUGACUGGAGUCCGGUAGGGGAGUGGGGAAUUCCUGGUGUAGCGGUGAAAUGCGCAGAUAUCAGGAGGAACACCGGUGGCGAAGGCGCCACUCUGGGCCGGUACUGACGCUGAGGAGCGAAAAGCGUGGGGAGCAAACAGG
rnacentral:rRNA from 1 species